AUACGUAGGGUGCGAGCGUUAAUCGGAAUUACUGGGCGUAAAGCGUGCGCAGGCGGUGAUGUAAGACAGUUGUGAAAUCCCCGGGCUCAACCUGGGAACUGCAUCUGUGACUGCAUCGCUGGAGUGCGGCAGAGGGGGGAUGGAAUUCCGCGUGUAGCAGUGAAAUGCGUAGAUAUGCGGAGGAACACCGAUGGCGAAGGCAAUCCCCUGGGCCUGCACUGACGCUCAUGCACGAAAGCGUGGGGAGC
rnacentral:rRNA from 1 species